CAGGUGUGGAAUGCUGCCACACUCCCACAUGGGGGUGCCCAGUGGGCAGUUGGAUGUACAGGUCAGAGCUCGGGGGAGAGGCACUGGAUUAGUGGGGUAAUUGGCACCCUCACAAACAGGGUAAGAGGUAAAUGCCGGGAUGCCUGGUGAGGAUUUUCACCAGUCAGGAGAAAGGGGGUGUAUGGCUGGCCCCUGGGAUUCCAGAAGUGGCUGCCAUGCCCCCUGAUCAGAGGGUUCUGGGUGGUGGAGGCACAGGGGUGGGGGUGUCAACGGAGGCAGGACAAAGUGGGUCAGAGGGGCUCCUUAGGUGCUAAAUCUCAUUAUAGCCUCACAAUCAGGAGGACGAGUGAGGGGUUUUAUUGAGAGGAGAGACCUGGCUGGAGGGAGGAGCGGGCUGCCAGACAGACGUCUCCGGUAUGUAGGUGUACAUUUAUAGAGAAGUCACCCAGAGAAGGAAAAUUUAGACAGUGGAAUCUAGAGGAAGCUUCCUCGGGUCCUUUCUAUUUGCAAUGUUGUCAAGUUUCCUUCUCUGUCGUCCUCAAAGCCUGGCCCUUCUGGGGCAGAAUAAUCUAGUAUAUGAGCACUUGAGGAGGAGUGAGGCAGCCGGGCUUUGCACCUGCAUCGGUUCAUCCUGGACGGCCAACAAGGCAGCUGCCGCUGGAUGAGGGCGGCUCUUUGGUGGUGUGAAUUGUGGUGCUGGAACUGACCUGGAAGCUCAGUUUGGAAGCAGGGCCUGUGGUCUAGAGGCUGGCUCUGCGUCCCUUCUUGCUGGGUCUGAAUAAAGAGGGGAAGGAGCCUCUGAAGUCGCUUCCAGAAUGCCAUCGUUCUCUUCAGCAGAUGGUGGAGGAGAGAGGCUAAUUGAGAACUCCUGUAGCAUAUAAAACAAAAACCAGCCAAAGGAACCCGCAAGGUCAGCACGCAUUAAGGGAACUUUGUCAUCUUCCUAGAUUCUGCAAGUGAGUGGCUACUUGCCAGAGGGAGAGAAAUGCAGAGAGGCCGAAUUAAAAUGACAACUGGACAACAGAAACUCAUGUAAGGUGAACAAGCAACCAGCCCCAAAGAAAAAACUUCUGGCCUUGUUUGAAAUCCUGUUCUCGCUUGGUUGGUGGUGGUUGUUUUUAUCGUUGGGGGAGGAAAAAGUGGUGGAUGGAGAAGUGCACAGCUGCCCCUGUGGUCUCACCUCUGUCUUCUAGCUCAGGUGACAUGACAGCCUGGAGGGAGGAGGAUGGUACCUUGGGGAGGAGGCAUUGGCUGAAUUGUUUUUAAAGAUUGGCACCUGAAACAUCUAUUGUCAAUCUUCUUUUCUUUCUUUGUCUUUUUUUCCCCUUCAUCUUCCCCCUAACCCAGUACAUAGUUGCAUAUUCUAGUUGUGAGUGCCUCUGGUUGUUGGCUGAAUAUUUUUGAGCAGUGUUCACUACGACUCAUUGAAAAAUAAAGUACAAAUAGCAAAAUAGAAACGCCCCAGGAUUUCUACAAAGCUGAUGUGUUAUUUUGAGUAGCAGGACAAAAAUAUACUUUUUAAAGACUAAUGCGACUAAUAGUAAAACUUAUAUAGUGAUUACUGUGUGUCAGGUAUUUUUCUAAGUGCUUCUUGUGUACUUACUUCUUUAAUCCUUGCAACGAACCUCUGAGUUGGAGAUACUAUCAUUAGCCCCAGUUUCCCGAUGUGGAAACUGAGGCACAGAAAAGUUAAAUUACUUGCCCAAGGUGAUGUGGCCAUCCAGUGGCAGAGAUUCUACCCACGCAGUCCGGCUCCAGAGACUAAACUCUUGACCAUCUCCAUAUCACUUCCUGGGCUGAAAGUCAGCCUGGGAUCAGGAAAUUGAGGCACAGAAAGGUUAAGUAACUUGCUGAAGUCACACAGCUGGGAAAUGAGAGAGCAGGAUUCAAACUCAGCUUUGCCCAGCUCCAGAGACUGUCCCGUUAGCAGUUAUUAAUGCUUUUUCUCUUUCCUCUUUGGGUUCCUUAAAGGAUUGUUGUGAAGAUCAAGUGAGACAAGGUAAGUGGUGUGUUCAGCCAACUGUAAAGCACCAUACAAGCUCUUAUUCGUAAACUGGAUCUGAGGACUAGAGGGGAAACAGGGAGAAACUCAGCUUGUGUUCAGAGGAGGCUUAGGCAGAGGCUGGAGGAGAGAGCGCGGCACAUUGGCAGUAAGGAGGUCAAGCAGGAGAGGCGUGAGAUGUGAAAGAAAACCAGGUGAGAUCUUAAAACCAGACAGAGGAAGAGUGGGACAUUGCUCUUCUGGUGCUAAGGGAUAAAGCCAAUAGACCCAGCCCUUGGUUAUCUGUGACCAUGGCUCAGAGCGCCCAACGCUAAUAGAACGUCAUCAUCGAUGACGACAACAAAAACGUUCUUUUAGCCAAAGACAUUGUCUCCUUCCUCUCAGAGAACUUUCUUUCUUCAAGAUGCUUUCAAGCAUUUCCCCACAUUGUUGGCUCUUUUCAGACACCUCUGCAGAGGGGUCCUAAUUUGCAUCACCAUGUGGGAAUCUUUAUCUUGAGCUACAUGGCUCCUCUGAGCUGUAAUAUGCCUGCAGAAAUGCGCUUAGAGUUGAUCUGAAAGUGGUACAAAGACUGACAGCUCCUUUCCUCCAGACUUUGGCCGCCCUUCCCCGAAAUCCUGGCAUCUGCUAAAGGCCCAGUUGUUUUCCAUGGGGGCAAAUAUGCCUGUCUCUCUCUUCAAGCUGACUUAUUGUACAUUCCUUUCAUCUGCUCAGAAUCUGAUUUAAAUAUGAAUCCAUGGAACGCAAACACCCAGCACUCAGAAGAAUUGUAACUUUGUUAUAUUUUGCCCAAUCACAACAAUUGUCUUAUCAUUCUUUGCCUGGUGAUGUUCUGUCAAAAGGGACCAAAUGAUGAUGUUUGGAAAGAUAGCAACACAAAUCACGUGAAAGUGAUUUAUUUUUAAUCCACCACACUGCGCUGUCCCCAAGUUAUUUGUGAAUAUGUAUCAAGCUCAAACUUUAAAAUUUUGACAAUUAAUUGGUUUCUUGCAGUUCCAUUAUUUCUCCCUAUCCUCUGAGUUUGAUGUGUGUGGAAAGUUUCCCAAAUACGUAUCUGGUAAAUUACUCCCAGACUCAAAGAUAGCUGCAGUAAAAUUUAAAAAAAUAAAGCUUCAGUCAUUCCUUUAUUUAAUGAAUAUGCAUUGAAUGUCUUCACUGUGUUGGGUGCUGGAUGAGGUUCUGGGGACACAGUAAUGAGCAAGAACAGAGAAUCUGUCUUCACAAACUUACUGGCUAGCGGAGCAGAAGUCAAUGAAGGAACAAAUAAAGACAUUUUACACAUUGUGGUAAAUGCUUGGAGUGACACAAAUGGGGGUGUUGUGAAAGAAAAUUGGAGAAGGGAGGGAGUACUCCCUGACUACCUAACCCAAAGACCUCACUUUGCAGAUGAGAAAAGUCCGGGCUGGGUCAUUUCCCCCAAUCCUAUACAGGUGGUUCCGGGCCAUCCUCAGCUAAAGGGGAUGCUGCUUCUUGGAUGAUAUACUAUUAGAUCUACUGGUGAAAUACACCAUCCUCCUGUGGUGAGUGUUUUGGGAGUAUUUGUCUUAAGGAUAUGUGAAUACAUAUAGUUAAUACAAUUCUGGGGAAAUGCAGGAAAGCAUCCUGGUACUUUUCUUUUUCACAUUGCUGAGGCCAGAAUGCUGUGGAAGUAUGGAUACUUUUCUCUCCUCCCAGACACUAACUCAGAGUUCUUGUAGUGAAGUUCACUUCCACGCCCUGAGCAAAGGAGGCCCCUAAACUCUAGACCUAAUAUCUCUUAGACCCAGUGUUUAGGUGGCUCAAGCCAAGAGGAAAUUGAGGAAAAAGCAGGAAAUUGAGGGAAAAGCCCCAGGGAGAGGGGGAAGAGAGAUGGAGAAAAUAGAAACAAAGGUGGUACCAAGAGAAGAAGCAGGAAACCAGGAUUGCAAGGUGCUGGCCAAGCAGGGAGAAGUGCUCCAUCACUUUGCUUGGCCAAUGCACUAGCCCAAGGGACUGUAAUCUCAGUGCGCUAGCAAAACCACUCCCCAUUUUCUUGAAUCCCCUGUUUCUGCUUAUGGACCUUUUCGAUGUGGGAAUCUCUGAGGUUGGAGCCAACUCUUGUUAUCUUUGUGGUUUUGUCCCACCUCACAGGCAGCAGUUAUCCAGCAGCUUGUUACAAAGCAUUGAGAGGCCACUCCUGAACUCAGGUGCACACAACCCUCUGUCCCACACUGUAUCAUCAGAGAACUUAUCACAAAGAGCAGUAACGUCUUCUCUUGCUCACAAACCCUCAAAGGACCCCUACUGAAUGUUACAAUGUUAUCUAGGAUCAAGCUAGACAGAACAAGUGUUCCAAUUUUUUAUUGUUCUGUAACAAACUCUCCUCAAAUGCAUUAAUUCCAAAAUAACAAUUUGUUUCUCUCCCAUGAUUCUGGGAUUGCUGGGCUCAGCUGGGUGGUUCUUGCUUGGCAUCCCUCACAUGGUCGCAGCCAAAAGGAGUUGUCUGAAGGCUUGGUCCUUCACAUGUCUGGUGCCUUGGCUGGGAUGGCUGAAUCAGCUGGGGACUGGUCAGCUCUCUCUCUCUUUACACGGCCUCUCCACAUGGCCAGCUUGGGCUUCCUCACAGCGCUGUGGUCAUUGUGCAGGCAUGCUUCUUACAAGGCCACUGGCUUCCCUAGAAGACAGGAAGUGGAAGCUGCUAGUCUCUUAAGGCCUGGCCUGGAAACUGUCACUUCCACCAUGUUCUGUUGAUCACAGCAGUCGCAGAGAUAAUAUAGACUCCCAUCUCUCGAUGGGAUGAGUGUCAAAGAAUUUGUGGCCAUCUCUAAUCUGUCCCAAAUCUACUGCCCCUUCCAUAUGAGAACCUUAAUGUAAAUAAAGACAGCAAACAUGUCUUUAUUCAGUUUUUGCUUUGCAGGCCAUACUCACCAGUUUCUUUAACCUUCAGAUCACUCACAUUCUUCCCAAACCCCAUAGGUAGUCCAAGUCGCCAGUCCCCCUUAAGAUGUGGCACCCAGGACCUGAUUCAUUAUCCAAGUCCUUCAAAGAGUAUCCCCACUGGCUUGGUACUCUCGUCUGUAAGUCCUGUAAGUACACUUCAACAUGGCAAGUGGCCGACUUCAGCCAGGACAUGUGCUUCGGUCUCAUUCAAGGCAGCGAUGAGGUUUCUUCUACUUCCUCAUUUAUCUCAGAUUUCUGAACCUUAAAAAACAUUUUUCCACUGUCUCUGUAUGAAGAUUAUUUUUCCUGAGAUGACGGAGGCAAAAUAGAAGUGGAAUAGUUGUGCUUUCUCCCUUCUGCUCACGUUAGACCAUCUGCUUCACGUAAUGAAUCCAUUUCUUUCCUCUUUAAAGUGCCUGAGAGUUUGCUUGUCUUGAGAUCCUCCAC
rnacentral:lncRNA from 1 species